rnacentral:lncRNA from 1 species
CCUCACGGGGAGAUCAGAUGGCACGGCUCUGUGGAGCACUCAGCAAGGUGCAGUUCUCCAAUCAGAAUCAAGACACCCAGGACACUCCGCCCGGGAAGCAGCCACCGAACCACCAUGAUGGGAGACAGAGCGGGUGCCCCUCUCAACUUCCCUCGCUGCUGAGAAGUGGAUAAAGGGGUCUCCCUGAACCCCCUGAGCUGCCCCAGGUGCCUGCCUUUUCCCCCUCCCCUCGAGCUCCCCCUCCUCGAGUUGAGCCUGGCUAGAGAGACACCUGCAGGUGAGACAGGUCUAAAAGAAGGCACUGAGGGGCUCGCCCUCCCAGCUCAAGGUUGUCACCCCCGGGGCAGGGCAGGUGGCUGCCACUCUUACUCAAACAGGAGUGUAGGGAGGGGCAGCCCUUGGGGGUGGGAGGAGUCAGCUAGGCUUCCUUCUCCUCCCUUCCUGUGCCUCCUGCCCUCACCCCGCUUGGCACAUUUUUGAGAUCUGUAUCUACCCUAAGGUUUGCGCAAAGACCUCAUAUGACUGCAUCUGGCUAAACUGACAACAGAGGAAUGAAAACAAUCGAGAAACACAUGGUCCUAGAGAGAAAAUGCAGGGGCUGACCCCAAGGCUGGGAAGUGAGCAUCACCUCUCCACACCAGUUUCUGUGGCCUCUGGGGAAAAGACAGAAUAAAAACUAGACUACAGGAGGUGGGGAGGGUGAACACGUACAAAUCAUAGUGAGAAAGAACCAGUAAGACCUGGUGUUUGCCAGCACAACAGGAUUACAAGCAACAAUAAUGUAUCAUACAUUCUUAAACCACUAUGAGUAUAAUUGGAUUGUUGGAACACAAAGGACAAAUGUUUGAGGGGUGGAUACCCCUUUACCCUGAUGCGAUUAUUACACACUGCAUGCCUAUAUCAAAAUAUCUCACGUACCCCAUACCUACAAACGUAUGUACCAUGUACCCACAAAAAUUACAAAUACAAAAAUACAAAAAAAAUUAGUCUAAAAACUAGACUCUACACUUAAGGCUGGGCAAUUUCACAAAGCCCUUGAAGGGCAGGAGUCUCUUCCAGGCUCCAGAGGAAUCCAGAGGAUGAAGCAGGAC